GGGGAAUAUUGCACAAUGGGCGAAAGCCUGAUGCAGCAACGCCGCGUGAGGGACGAAGGCCUUCGGGUUGUAAACCUCUUUUAGCAGGGAAGAAGCGAAAGUGACGGUACCUGCAGAAAAAGCGCCGGCUAACUACGUGCCAGCAGCCGCGGUAAUACGUAGGGCGCAAGCGUUAUCCGGAAUUAUUGGGCGUAAAGAGCUCGUAGGCGGUUUGUCACGUCUGCUGUGAAAUCCCGAGGCUCAACCUCGGGCCUGCAGUGGGUACGGGCAGACUAGAGUGUGGUAGGGGAGACUGGAAUUCCUGGUGUAGCGGUGAAAUGCGCAGAUAUCAGGAGGAACACCAAUGGCGAAGGCAGGUCUCUGGGCCACUACUGACGCUGAGGAGCGAAAGCGUGGGGAGCGAAC
rnacentral:rRNA from 1 species